rnacentral:rRNA from 1 species
UAGGUGAUCUCAAUUCAACAUCGAGGUGAUAAACCUUGUCUUCGAUAAGGACUCUUUGACAAGAUUAUCCUGUUAUCCCUAAAGUAGCUUUUAUUUUUUGAUCGUUAGAUUAUUUUUAGACAUUUUAACGGGUCAUUAUAACCUACUUUGUAACUGUUAAAUACAUAGAUUAAACAGUAAAUUUUUUAUUAAUGUAGUUAAUCUCUGUUUUUUUUUAGAGACCAUCUCCCCAAUGAAACUACCAUCCCUUUUAUUUUUUAUUAAUUUUUUUUUAUUAUUAGAUUAAAAGAGUUAUAGUUAAGCUUUAUAGGGUCUUUUCGUCUUACAGUUUUAAAUAGAAUCUUAACUAUUAUUUUAAUUUUUUUAUUAUUUUAUAAGACAGUGAGAUUUUCGUUUAGCCAUUCAUACUAUCCACUAAUUAAGUGGCGAGCAAUUACGCUACAUUCAUACAGUCAUAGUUACUGCAGCCAUUCAACCUUUUUUUUUAUUUAACUUAUUUGUUUAAAUCUAAUUAGAGUCAUUGGGC